rnacentral:rRNA from 1 species
UACGGGGGGGCAAGCGUUGUUCGGAAUUACUGGGCGUAAAGGGCUCGUAGGGGGCCAACUAAGUCAGACGUGAAAUCCCUCGGCUUAACCGGGGAACUGCGUCUGAUACUGGAUGGCUUGAGUUUGGGAGAGGGAUGCGGAAUUCCAGGUGUAGCGGUGAAAUGCGUAGAUAUCUGGAGGAACACCGGUGGCGAAGGCGGCAUCCUGGACCAACACUGACACUGAGGAGCGAAAGCCAGGGGAGCAAACGGG